rnacentral:sRNA from 1 species
GUUCAUCUUUUUUUCCCCCUUUUAGGUCGGGAUCAAGAACCAGAGAUCGCAGGAGGUCACGCUCCCGGGAUCGGCGUCGGAGGCGGUCAAGAUCUACCUCCCGAGAGCGACGGAAAUUGUCCCGGUCCCGGUCCCGAGAUAGACAUCGGCGCCACCGCAGCCGUUCCCGGAGCCACAGCCGGGGACAUCGUCGGGCUUCCCGGGACCGGAGUGCGAAAUACAAGUUCUCCAGAGAGCGGGCAUCCAGAGAGGAGUCCUGGGAGAGCGGGCGGAGCGAGCGAGGGCCCCCGGACUGGAGGCUUGAGAGCUCCAACGGGAAGAUGGCUUCACGGAGGUCAGAAGAGAAGGAGGCCGGCGAGAUCUGAACCCGUCUCCCGGGUGCUGUAAAUAGUCUGAUAAACGUUCACACAGUCUAAAAUUACCCUUUAUAUUUGCUGAAUACAACUCAUCUUUUGUAGUUUAAAAUUUCUAUUGUUUUGGAGCUAGCUGUGAGUUUCUAGAAGUGUACAGAGUUGCUCCUGUGUUCCGGGGUCAUGUUGAGUAGGAAUAAAUAAAUCUGAUGCUGCCUCCUGA